CCAAAAACAUAGCCCUAGGUAUGAUCUAAGGUGAAACCUGCCCAGUGGUUAAUUAACUCAAUAAUAAUUUUUUGGAAAUUUAACUAAAAGGAAGCGGUAACCUUGACUGUAGUAAUGUAGCAUAAUCACUCGUCACUUAAUUGGUGAAUAGUAUGAAUGGUUAAACGAAUUUUCCACUGUCUUAAAAAUAGGAUUAUAAACUUAAGGUAAUAGUUAAGACGCUAUUUAUAAUUGUAAGACGAAAAGUCCCUAUAGAGCUUAACUAUAUUCUUUACUUUCCUCUUAAAUAUCAUUUAUCAAGUAAAGAUUGGUAGUUUAGUUGGGGUGACUGCCUUUUAAAAUUAACAAAGGUAAGCGAUAUUAAUAAAUUAAUUUAUUGUUUAAUCUAUUUAUUUAACAAUUACUAAAGUAGGCUAUAAUGACCCGUCUUUUAUGUGUGUAUAAAGACGAUUAAUAGAUAAAAGCUACCUUAGGGAUAACAGGAUAAUUUUAACUUAGAGUUCUUAUCGAAGUUAAAGUUUGUCACCUCUAUGUUGAAUUAAGAUAUCCUAGUGAUGCAGAAGUCACUGAUGGUA
rnacentral:rRNA from 1 species